rfam:Ipomoea nil DNA, scaffold: scaffold0465, cultivar: Tokyo-kokei standard.
CCGCAUUUAGUGUAGUAGUAUCAUAGUACCCUCCUAUGGUACUGACCGGGGUUUAAAUCUCCGAAUGCGCA